rnacentral:rRNA from 1 species
GUGGGGAAUAUUGGACAAUGGGCGAAAGCCUGAUCCAGCAAUGCCGCGUGAGUGAUGAAGGCCCUAGGGUUGUAAAGCUCUUUUACCCGGGAUGAUAAUGACAGUACCGGGAGAAUAAGCUCCGGCUAACUUCGUGCCAGCAGCCGCGGUAAUACGAGGGGAGCUAGCGUUGUUCGGAAUUACUGGGCGUAAAGCGCGCGUAGGCGGUUUUUUAAGUCAGAGGUGAAAGCCCGGGGCUCAACCCCGGAAUUGCCUUUGAAACUGGAAAACUAGAAUCUUGGAGAGGUCAGUGGAAUUCCGAGUGUAGAGGUGAAAUUCGUAGAUAUUCGGAAGAACACCAGUGGCGAAGGCGACUGACUGGACAAGUAUUGACGCUGAGGUGCGAAAGCGUGGGGAGCAAACAGGAUUAGAUACCCCAGUAGUCC